UGGGGAAUUUUGGACAAUGGGCGAAAGCCUGAUCCAGCAAUGCCGCGUGUGUGAAGAAGGCCUUCGGGUUGUAAAGCACUUUUGUCCGGAAAGAAAUCCUUGGCUCUAAUACAGUCGGGGGAUGACGGUACCGGAAGAAUAAGCACCGGCUAACUACGUGCCAGCAGCCGCGGUAAUACGUAGGGUGCGAGCGUUAAUCGGAAUUACUGGGCGUAAAGCGUGCGCAGGCGGUUUGCUAAGACCGAUGUGAAAUCCCCGGGCUCAACCUGGGAACUGCAUUGGUGACUGGCAGGCUAGAGUAUGGCAGAGGGGGGUAGAAUUCCACGUGUAGCAGUGAAAUGCGUAGAGAUGUGGAGGAGUACCGAUGGCGAAGGCAGCCCCCUGGGCCAAAUACUGACGCUCAUGCACGAAAGCGUGGGGAGCAAACAGGAUUAGAUACCCUGGUAGUCCACGCCCUAAACGAUGUCAACUAGUUGUUGGGGAUUCAUUUCCUUAGUAACGUAGCUAACGCGUGAAGUUGACCGCCUGGGGAGUACGGUCGCAAGAUUAAAACUUAAAUGAAUUGACGGGGUCAUAGCUGUUUCC
rnacentral:rRNA from 1 species